CCCGCGUGUCCCCGCCCCACUUCCUCAACCACGGCCAGGUUCUUCCUUGUCUUCUCCGCGGUCCCCGCCAGUUUGGCUUCGGCUCCGACCUGCCAGCGCCGGCCAAUGGGGGUUGGUUCGCCCGAGGUGAGCGCUCUCUCCAUUUCCCCCGCUCUUCGCAUUCCGCAUUGCACCCUCACACCAAAACCCUGAACCCAUGAUGCAACUGUAAUGGAGAUUGAUUCGGUCUAGUGAAUUCUCCAGAAUCACCCCACCCCCGUCCCCCGCUGCCAUUCUAAUCGCCCGCCGCUGCUUAGUGCGUACCCACUUCACCUUUUGAGCUAAUCACUUGGGCAACAGUAUCCUCAAGUUUGGGUAUCUAUAUUCAGAAGAAGAAUUUACCCCUUCUUCGGUAGAGUUCGUUGUUCAUUUUUCUGGCAAUGCUCAUGGACCAGAUGACUGUGCACCUGCCCCCAAAUGAAUUUGGGUAGCUGGGUCGAACCAAUCAGCAAAAAAUAAAGCAUAUGCUAUAUGAAUUGCUGUUUUUGUACACCUCGGUUUGGCUUUCGAGUCUGUGUUCUCUUUCAGUUAUCGAUUAGUCGGACUUCAAUCGUUUUUCAACACAAAUUUCUUAUGGAACCAAUGUUUUCUUUUCUCUGCGUCCCAGAAAAUAUUGUUAUUCAAGACUUUUACAUUCAGAUGAUUGGUUGACAACCCGCCGAAACCACAUUUCGAUGGAAAGAAGGAGAUAAUCCUGGAUCUACUCCGACCAUGGCAAAUAUUUUCCCAAGCUUCCUGGGCCUUUCUGUCAUUUCUGGUGAACUCAUCAAUUGUGUCGCCUUGGCCAUCAAUGGGGAGCAGAGAUGAAUCACUUCUCCAUUUACACUGGGGUCCGCUCAUCACUUGUUGUGGACGCUUUAAUUGAAAAGCAGUACAUCAGGAACAAGAAGAAGGCACCAGCAGCUUCUAGUGGCUAGACAUGGGUCGUAGUUAAUCUGUUUUUGGGGGACUUUGCUUAAAGAUUGGAUCCGUAGGGCAAUGUAAUCAAAUCGUCUAAUCGAUCCUAGUCGAGAUGGCACCGAUCUGCCCGACUAAUCGUGAUUAAUCAUUAAUAAUCGUAGUGCAUAUCUGAUCACCAUGGCACCGAUCAACCUGACUACUCACGACUAAUCGUGAUUAGUCUGACGACUUAACGGCAAUUGGUUAGUGAGUUUGUUAGUGUUGCAUCCGACCAUUAGGCUACAUAACUAAGGGCUGGCCAACACAUCAGGGGUAAGCAGAAGUAGAGUUUUCAUGGCCAGAGCCUCCUAGGGAGGGCAGUCAGGCUCUACUGCUGCCAUUGUUCUAGGUUUAGCCAAGAUUAAUAAAGCCAAGUUCCCUCCUUACCAUCACUGCCCCUUAUUCAAUCUCCACCAAAAUCAUUCCAGAAUCUCUCCCCACCCUGCUCUUCCAUCAUGAUCAACUAGAAUCACUCCACCAAAGAAUCAAGGAGCUAGAGCUAAGAAUCAGGGAGUGAAGCUCUACCAAACAAGCCCUGACUUUUGUAUUCAGAGUUUUGGUUAACAGGACGCUGAAACCACCUCAAAAAGGUCAUUACAUUGGUUCCUGAAUUUUUUUCAAUGCUGAUUAUGAUCGCAUUGAUGUGUCUUAUGUCAAAAUUUCUUUUAAAAAUUUGGGUUGUAUAUUAAUUCAUAUUGAAUUAAGUUAAAGAGUUCUUUUCUAUAUAUAGAUAUAGCUGAAUGUGAAUUGGAAUUUACACGACCAAACAGGGAUCAAUCCCUUGCUCAAAUGGAAAAAAAUAGAGACAUCGAAACAUUCUAUCCAGCUGAAAUUUGCAUGUACAAGGGUUGCACAUUUUCAGAUUCAUAAUUGCUUUCCAUUAAACUUGGAAUCCCUAAUUGUACAGAAUCUCUUACGGUAAACUCUUGAAAGUUUGACGAUGACUAACAAAUUGCUUUUUAGCUGCGCUGUUGUGUUCUGACACAAAUGUAAACAUUAGACUUGUACAGAGCAAGUCAAAAUACGGAGACUUUAGAAUCAUCAUAUUACGUACAAAUUUAGAAUUAAAACAUUGCAGAACAGAAAUUGUAAAGAUGAAGUCAGGUUCCUGUAGUAAUGAUUUGCUGGAGAUUUGUUUUGCCUCCCAAUAUUUCUUGCUAUAAUUUCCUUUGUUAUAUCAUUCACAUCCUUUUUUUCCCAAUGAAAUACAGGGGGCAUGGUACCCACUUGAACCAUUUCAUUGCGAAAAGGCCGACCGCCGACAUGCAGAGCACAAAGGUGGUGGAGCCAUUUUGGGCAAGCUCAAGCCCAAUUACAAAAGCAUCAUUUGUCGUAAGGUGAUAUUAUCAGCAUUUUUUUAUUACUUGUUAGUCCUGUUCUAUUGAGGGCCAUAAUGGGUGCCAUGUGUUAGCUGUCACUUGUUUUCAUUGGUUGUUCGUACCUGUUCAGCUAUAUCUCUUUUCAUAAGCAGAGUGUUACACUGCCAACAGACAAUUGCUACUGUUCCUGACAUGAGCUUCCUUUUAGCUCAUUUUAUUUUUCUCUUCAUAUGAUUCUACUCAUGACAGAUUUACUGGAGAGUGUCAUCGCUGUUGUUUGGCUUAGAUUUUCUUCUCUAUGUACCUGAUCACCAAUGUUGUUUACUGAACUAUGAUCAAUGAUUAACUCCCAUUGCUCAUUUGCUCCAAUUGGCAUGUAUAGAGAGAUUCACGCUGGCAUCUGAAUACUACUACUAUUUGAAGUUACAAAAAGACUGCUAGAAACUAAACUUUGUUUUUUUUUCUUCAUUUUCUUAAUCUAUUUCCGUGUGUUAAUGAGCCUACUGAUACUUGCAUUAAGCAAUAUCUGAACAAUAUCAGUUCAUGUGAUUAUUUGUAGUUAGUUCUCGCUGUCAGAGUCAAAACAGCAGUUGUUGUACAGUGUUAAACUGAAUCCUCUAGUGUGUUGCCGUUCUGUUCUGGGCAAUGAUAACUUUCUAAAUUCUUAUAUACAAGGAAUGAUUCUGCUGUCUCAUGCUCCCAUGAUUCCAUUGUCAUGCUCAUGUAAAAAGAAAAGACUGCAUAAAUCAAUUCUUAGACACAACUGAGCAUGAAGGUAGAACACAACUAUUUCAAUUUAUGCUUUGUUAUUUCUUGUUAAUCCUGUCUAACUCUGUAGUCUUGUCACAGUGAUGUGUCAAUAGGCUUAGUUGACUGUCUUUGUUCUCCAUUUGAAGUCAAAUAUUUGCUACGUAAAUGUUAUAUAAUGUGUAACCUGUGAUGUUGGGUGCAGCACUCCCCAUUACAUAAUGUUUCCAUUGUUAUGGUUUCCUUAUUUUCUCCCAUUUCCACAAUUUUCUUUCAUUCAAUUUCUCCUCUUGCACUGAUAAUCUUUUUUCUUAACAUGCAGAUGCAUGCAAAGAGACAAUAUCAGAAGCACCCUCACCUUUACCAUCACAGUAUGGAGGUACAUCAUAAAAACAGAAAUUUAAGUACACAUUCCCAUGUGACUAGAUGUUCAUCUUCGAUUAUCAAAAUUACGCACUACACAAACUCCUUACCAGAACAUAGUGAUUUUUUAGGGUGUUGAUGUAUGUCCAGACCACUUAGGUCCAAGUUCUUGUGAGGUGAAUUGGGGUGCCUAUUUACUUUGUAAUAUGAAGCCAACUAGUUUCUUCUAGGUUGGUCUUGAAAAAAGAUGAACAUAGUGACUUCGCUAUAGCCAUCUUUUAUUUUUUAAUUUUGUGAGGAGAUGUGUAGGAUUUUGAGUGCUGUAUCUUUUUUUUGAACAAGUUUAUGGAUGCAUUUUGGGAGCCUGUUCGUUUGAGCUUAUCUACUGAAUCUGCCAUCCAUUCAGCAGUAUUUUUCUCUCACAACAAAUCAACGAACAUUACUUUCAACCAUGGCUUUUCAAACAAGCAAACGGGCUCGGUUUAAUUAGUUUUUAGAGCCACUGUCCUUAUUUGUUUUACAUAAUUUUUGUAUACAGAAAUUAGUUAGUAACUUAGUAUUAUUGGUUCCAUUGCAUUCGUCAACUAUGUGAUGCUAGGUUACUUUAUGUUAUUUCGAGAGAACAAAACCCUAUUCAUUUGUGUUGCAUGUGAAAGAAUCCUCUAACAUUGAAGCUAGUUGUGUGAAGCUGAGGAUAGAAAGCUGCUAACAACAGUUAAAAUAUGAUGAAAAUUAACCAUCAUUGAUAUUCUCUUGCCUUGUUCUAGAUAUAUACAAUCAAGUUAAGCCUAGUAAGGCCUCUUUGGAACACAGAACUUUCACAGGAGCCUUACAAGAAUCAGUUCAUUUUCACAGGAAAAACACAGGAAACUGGAUAUGCAUUCCAAACGGGGCCUAAACCAGAUUAUAGAAUGAUCUUUGCCAGCGCUGGUCAGCAUCAUCAUUACCCAUCCCUUUCUAACUUGAGUGGGCUUUAAUAUGCCUUUUUGUUUCUUAACCAGGUAUUCUCACCACAGUUGCAUUAUUAACUAGUACCUAGUGUAAAAGGCUUGCAUUUUAUAUGACUAAGUGUCGAUUAUGUAAGGUAUGUUAAAUACCUAGCCCUCUUGGGCAUUAAAUAAUCGUUUCAGCACAUGGCCUACAAAUCCUCUAAACAGGUAGGAGAGCUGCAAUUUUGAGUUAGUGAUAGAUGAAUGUACAUCACCUUACUUAAGGUGGGAAAAGAAAGUAAGUGACCUGAAAACCACGUUGUUUUAUGCAAAAAGGGCAAAUUAAAAUCCUGACUAGCUGAUUCUAUUCCUCUUUUCUUUGUGAGCAGCUGCUAGCUUCUCUUCAUAAGUUGUUGAAACACUGUGGAAAUUGUCACAUAGUUAUACUCUAAACCUAGCUGAUUCUGUUCCCUCUGUACCUUUUAGUUUAAGAAGACACCCCUGUAUGAGUAACGGUUAUCCUAUUCCCUUUAUCUACUUUGUUGGGCAGCACAUGUAAGAAAAUUCCUCAUUUUCUUUAAUCUGUAUAUGUGUUUCACGCUUGAGGAUUUUAACUCUUUGGAGCGAAACCAAGCAGUCCUUUUCCACUAUGUAUUUUCAAGCGGAAAGUGAUCAGCUAGCUUGAGAUUCUCUUUAGCGAAAGGUGAACAAAGAAAGCAAAAAGGCGAAUGGAAAGUAGCACUAAGGUCAAUAUAACUUUAGCCUUGCCCAUGAAUAUGCAAACGAUUCAUCCAAGAAUUUCUCAAAAGAAAGAAAUUGAAAGAACAAAGUGCAUCAUCAACAAUUAAUUUGCAUCUCAUGCAUGUACCAGC
rnacentral:lncRNA from 1 species